UAAUUGUUUUGACACUCUAUCUCUCUAUAGCUGACCCCUCCCCACAACCCCCUGGCAGACUCGUCUGAUGGACCUCGGAUACCAACUCUCAGCAUCUGCCACAUCGAUUUCCCCCCAAAUCUCACCUCCUCAACGUCGUCUAGCUCUGCCGCAACACACCAGGCCCAUGGCAUCUAAAUGCAGCUGCAAGUACACGACUGGAUCGUGCAACAGCUGUGUGUGUGUGCCCAGGAAGGUAGAACCGGCAGCAACUGCAUCAGAGCUACAGGUGCACAAAUAAGACGACAUCCAUUUAUUUAGGAGGCCUGCAGAGCUAACUGUCUUCAGAUUGAUGGAUUUCAGAUAGAGUUGACACCUUUGAUUCCAACCCUACCAGGUGCAGCCUCUUCGUCAGCCACCCCAGAAACCACGGCGUCCAGAGAAAUUUAUUUGGGAGCCCUCCCUGCGCGUACCACCAAAGGGGAUAUCAGGGAGCCCUCCGUUGUUUUGGCGGCACCAGCAGUCUGGUCUUACCAGGAGGGAGAAAAGGAAGGGGGCACACUUCCGCUCAUAAUCGCUAUAAAAGAGCGGGCAGUGCUGGUGCUGAACAAUCAGCAACUAAAACGGAGUGGACUCGACUAUCUUCAACUGCCUCACCUCACAUCAGAAAACUGAUCUAUACACCUCACAUCAGCAUGGUAUGCUGCAGAUGUAAAAAAGGACUAUGUAGCGGGUGUGUGUGUGCCCAGGGGGGCAAACCCUGUACAAAUUGUUGCAGCACAAGAUGCUCAAACCAGGCUAGUUCUUCCACCCAGUGUGCCGCACUACUCCCGAACCCACCAGCCCUAGCUAGGGGCCUGACCCUACGGUUGAAGCGUUGCGUAUACCCGCUAGUCAGCUAGCUAGUUCCCCCUCCACCUAAGAGGAAAUGUUCAGUGAGUGACCAUGUGCGUGCAUACAUGUAUUAUAUAUGCAGUUAUGCUCGAAUUCCCGAAUUAUAUAAUUAUAGUACA